rnacentral:rRNA from 1 species
UACGUAGGGACCGAGCGUUGUCCGGAUUUAUUGGGCGUAAAGAGCGUGUAGGCGGCCAGGGAGGUCCGUUGUGAAAACUCGAGGCUCAACCUCGAGACGCCGAUGGAAACCCCCUGGCUAGAGUCCGGAAGAGGAGAAUGGAAUUCCUGGUGUAGCGGUGAAAUGCGCAGAUAUCAGGAAGAACACCCGUGGCUAAGGCGGUUCUCUAGUACGGUACUGACGCUGAGACGCGAAAGCGUGGGGAGCGAACAGG